rnacentral:lncRNA from 1 species
AUUCCGCUGGGGUUCCUUUCCCGGAAACCUCGGUGGGCGGUCUGGAGGAAGCGCACCCUUCCACGUCACAGCCGCCGCCCUGCCCCUUGCCCGGAACCCUGGAGGACAAGGAGAGGAGACACCCCCUCCCCCGUCCCGAGGGGCCUGGGUGCUCAGGGCCAGCCUGAGGGCCAUGGAGGGGCCGAGUCCUCAGAGGCGGGACCAAGAGAGGAGCGGGGUGCUAAGUGGACGUGGCCAGUUGGAGGAGGGCGGGUGACGUUAUACGGGGUGGGGCCCACCGGACCGGACGAGCGGAGUUCCCAAGGGGGCGUGGUCUACGGGGAAGGAGAUGUCAUCCAAAGGGGGCGUGGUUAGCGCAAUGACAUGUUCUAAGGGGGCGGGGCGAGAACGAGGGGGCGGGGCGAGAACCUGGGAGGUUACCAUUGGAGGCGGGUUCCGAAGGGGGCGUGGUCUGCUGGGGGUGUGGUUUUUAGGGGUGGGGCCAGGUGCUUGGGCUCGGUUGCCGCCAGGCGCUGCCGGUGACGGCCAGACCUGGCUGGGGCGGGGAGGGUGGGGCCCGGAGCCGCACAGCCUCAGGCUUGGGCUCGGCCCCAACUUCUUGGGAGCUCCGCGGGUCCCGGCCCAGGGGGACAUGAGACAGAGGCACCUGGAAUGGGGGGACUCUUAAGAUGAAGGCCUGUCCCGGCCCAGCUGACAAACAGGAAGGACACAGGCUUCCAGGAGACACACCUGGCAUUCAGGUAUGUGGUGCCUGGAGCCAGCUCCCGGCCCAGCUCUCCACCCCUAAAGCCACCUAGCGUGGCUUUCAGGUCCUUUCAGGCCCUCAGCCUGGGCUGACUCAGGAUGUAAGAAUCCUGGUGCUGUUUCUCUGCAGACUUCUCCAGGCUGACAUGGCCUCCGGGGGUGGGGGCAGUGAGGCGCAGACCCCUGCUUCUCUCCCAUCCAAGGCGAACUUUCUCCACCAACCACCUGAGCCACACAGGGUGUCAGGCCUGUGACAGGAUCCAGGGAGCCCCAAAGUGUCUGAGACCUAUUUGAUCAUAAUAAUAACAAAAUUAGUGGCUCCAAAAUAUAAGAACCUGUAAACACAAAAUUGCUGUUUGCUGACAUUUCUACAAAAAUGUGACCUUUUAACGUCCUUAAAAGUGGGUUUCCACUGGAAAGCCAGGUAUGGGUUAGAUUUUCUUACAUCCUAAGAAUCCUUGAGUGUGCACAUGGAUUGCUAAGAAGCUAUGGACAUUGGUCAUUAAAUUCCACCCUGCCUAGAAUGUUCUUUCACCUGGCUCGCUCCCUCAAAAUGCUUCCAGUUGUUGCUGAAUGACACCUCCCCGGGCCACUCUAUGGAAAAUUGUAACUCCACUCCUUGAAACUUCAUAUCUCGUCCUUUUUCCUUUCUCCACUUAGCUCUCUCUGAUCUGCUCCUUCAUUCACUUAUUUAUUCUCUUAACCAUCCUCUCAGCCCCUAGCCGGCAGCCCCCCGAAGGGCAGGGGGUUUGGUCUGUUUUGUUCACUGCUCGAUUUCUAGUGCCUAAUAUAGUGCCUGGCACACAGUGGGUGCCCAUAAAUAUUGGUUUGAGGAAAUUAAUUAAAUUUCUACAAAACGUAACAUUAUGUCAUCUGCAUAAAAAUGGCAUUACUGUACAUUUGAAAGCAAUGCAUAGGUCUUC